rnacentral:rRNA from 1 species
UACGUAGGUGGCAAGCGUUGUCCGGAUUUACUGGGCGUAAAGGGCGCGUAGGCGGUCAGCACAAGUCAGUUGUGAAAUCUCCGGGCUUAACUCGGAAAGGUCAACUGAUACUGUGCGACUAGAGUGCGGAAGGGGCAACUGGAAUUCUCGGUGUAGCGGUGAAAUGCGUAGAUAUCGAGAGGAACACCUGCGGCGAAGGCGGGUUGCUGGGCCGACACUGACGCUGAGGCGCGAAAGCCAGGGGAGCGAACGGG